rnacentral:rRNA from 1 species
AUUGAACGCUGGCGGCAGGCCUAACACAUGCAAGUCGAGCGGAGCGGCGGACGGGUGAGUAAUGCCUAGGAAUCUGCCUGGUAGUGGGGGAUAACGUCCGGAAACGGGCGCUAAUACCGCAUACUAUCAGAUGAGCCUAGGUCGGAUUAGCUAGUUGGUGGGGUAAAGGCCUACCAAGGCGACGAUCAGUAACUGGUCUGAGAGGAUGAUCAGUCACACUGGAACGGAGACAAGGGCCAGACUCCUACGGGAGGCAGCAGGUGGGAAUAUUGGACAAGGGGCGCAAGCCUGAUCCAGCCAGGCCGCGUGUGGGAAGAAGGUCUUCGGAUUGUAAAGCACUUUAAGUUGGUAGGCGUUCCAAACAGAAUAAGCACCGGAUAACUUCGUGCCAGCAGCCGCGGUAAUUC